UGGUAUACGAGAUCUGCCUUUGGGUAGACCUCCCACCCUGUGUCGUUAUACCUUUGUUGCUUUGGCGGGCCGCGGGGCUCCGGCCCUGCCUCUGGCUCCGGCUAGGGCGCGCCCGCCAGAGGACUCCCAAACCUGAAUGUUAGUGUCGUCUGAGUACCAUAUAAUAGUUAAAACUUUCAACAACGGAUCUCUUGGUUCUGGCAUCGAUGAAGAACGCAGCGAAAUGCGAUAAGUAAUGUGAAUUGCAGAAUUCAGUGAAUCAUCGAAUCUUUGAACGCACAUUGCGCCCCUUGGUAUUCCGGGGGGCAUGCCUGUUCGAGCGUCAUUACACCCUCAAGCUCUGCUUGGUCUUGGGCGUCACCGGUCCCGGUGUGCCUUAAAAUCAGUGGCGGCGCCGUCUGGCUCUAAGCGUAGUACAUACUCUCGCUACAGACGCCCGGCGGAUGCUGGCCAGCAACCCCCAAGCUAUCAAGGUUGACCUCGGAUCAGGUAGGGAUACCCGCUGAACUUAAGCAUAUCAAA
rnacentral:rRNA from 1 species